rnacentral:tRNA from 1 species
UAGCUCAGUUGGUAGAGCACUCUACCUAAAAUGGAGAGGUCCCUGGUUCGAUACCAAG